AGUAGUAAUCUGGCGGUUGACACUCUCGUUGCCUGUAUAGGCUGAUGGCCCACUCACCUUUUUAGCUGGGCUCCUGACCUGUCCGGCCAGAAAGUUGCCACUGGGGUAAGGUGGAUGGCGUGGGGGAAUAGGGAAGGGCCUCAGCACAGUUUCUGAACACUUCUUCCACACCGGAUUCCGGAGGCCGCAGAUAGGGAAAGCAAGGGCCAGUAGGGCAGUUUUCUCUUGUGUUCCCUAUUCUUGUUGAGACUGUGAGGAUGGUGGAGUGACCCUCUGGCUGACCUUUGUCCCUCCUGCCAAGACUUUUUCUUGCAGGACUAUUCCCCACCCAGUGGGUGAGUUUGCUUACUUGGUGGGUGACAGUACCGUGACCACAACCAAGGAUUUGACAAGGGGAUGUUAUUACUUGCAACAAGUAAGGAAACACUGGGGGUAAUUCUUAAAGCGGUGCCUCCCUGAACAAAGGUGAAAACAGUGCUUUUAUUAGUCGUAUGUAGAGGUGGAGCAAAAGCCGUGCUGGUGCAGUUUUCUAUCAUGUUUCUACAUACCUCGCAUGCAUAGAAAAUAGCAAAUAAGGCCGGGCGCAGUGGCUCAUGCCUGUAAUCCCAGCACUUUGGAAGGCUGAGGCAGGCGGAUCACCUGAGGUCGGGAGUUCGAGACCAAACUGACCAACAUGGGGAGAAACCCUGUCUCCACUAAAAAUACAAAAGUAGCCGGGCAUAGUGGCGCAUGCCUGUAAUCACAGCUACUCGGGAGGCUGAGGCAGGAGAAUCGCUUCAACCCGGGAGGCGGAAGUUGCUGUGAGCCGAGACUGCGCCAUUGCACUCCAGCCUUGGCAACAAGAGCGAAACUGCACCUCAGAAAAGAAAAAAAAAAAGAAAGAGAGAGAGAGAGAAAGAAAGAAGGGAAAGGAAAGGAGAGGGAAGGGGAGGGGAGGAAAAGAGGGACGGGACGCAGUGGCUCACACCUGUAAUCCCAGCACUUUGGGAGGCUGAUGAGGGAGGGUCGCUAGAGGCCAGGAGCCCAAGACCAGCCUAGGCAACAUAGGGAGACCCAGCCGAUAUUGAAAAAAAAUAGAGAGAGAAAGAAAAUGGCGAAAAAGAAGCUCCUCCCUAUGAGACAGGGCAGGGACCCCCUCUUAAAGGCUUGCUGAGUAUCUAAGCAUAGAAAUAAAAAAAAGUCUUGAGUUCUUUCAAGAGAAAUUACCAGCACAUAGCUAGCCCUGAGAGUAAAUAAGUAACUUAAUAAAAAGUUAAUAGUAGCUUAAAAUGAUAGCCAAGGAAGUUAAAAUCAUGGGGUAUUUGGUUUUGUGUAGAAAUGGAAGAUAACAUUUUAACAUAGGUCUUUCAAUUGUUUUUCAGAAACCUGGACCCCUACUGAAUGGAUCUGCUGGCACCUAGACCUCAGAGAAGGGGGAACUGAAGACUGAAGUCUGACCACUGUUCUUUGUUGAAAAUUUCUUUCUCAGGGGCUUGGAGGGAUCACAUCUACAAUCCUGAGCUAAUAUUCUCUUCUGCUGUCCCCAAAAUUUAAACGAAGCUUCUCUUAACCCAUUGCAAAUGAGAAAAAUCUUUGAAUCUACCUAUGACUAUAAGCCCUUAUUUCAAGAUAUCCUGCCUUUUUAGGCCAGAACCAAAGUGUAACCUCCAUCUAUUGAUUUACAAUUUUGCCUGUAACUUUGGCUUUCCUGAAAUUUACCCCAGCCUUAAAAAAAAAAAAGAACAGAAAAAGAAAACUGCAAGGCAUCAGGGAGGUCAGAAUUUGGGCAUGAGCUGCCUGAUCCUCCUUGCUUUGCAUCUUUGCAAAUAGAUGCCUUCAGCUGUGCAUGAUGGCUCACACCUCUCAUCCCAGCACUUUGGGAGGGCAAGGCGGGAGGAUUGCUCCAUCCCAGGAGUUCGAGAUCAGGGGCAAAAUGCCGAAACCCUGUCUCUACAAAAAAUUAAAAAAUUAGCUGGGCAUGAUGGUGCACUUCUGUAGUCCCAGCUACUUGGGAGGCUGAGGCAGGGGGAUUGCUUGAGCCCAAGAGGUUGAGGCUACAUGAGCCAUCAUCGUGCCACUGCACUCCAGCCUGGGAAACAGAAUGAGACCCUGUCUCAAAACAAAACAUUUGAAAAAUAACAAGUUCAGGUGCAGUGGCUCAUACCUGUAAUCCCAGCACUUUGGGAGGCCAAAGUGGUCGGAUCACUUGAGGCCAGGAGUUCAUGACCAGCCUGGCCAACAUGGCAAAACCCCAUCUCUACUAAAAAUACAAAAAUUAGCUGGGUGUGGUGGCUGGCAACUCUAGUCCCAGCUACUCCGGAGGCUGAGGCAGGAAAAUCACUUGAACCCAGGAGGCGGAGGUUGAAGUGAGCCGAGAUCACACCACUGCACUCCAGCCUGGGCAACAGAGCAAGACUCUGUCUCCAAAAAUAACAAAAAAUAAAUACAUGCCUUCCUUUCUACUGCUGCACAACCUCACUGUGUCAGGCAGGCAUCUCUGGAUCCAGCUGGUUUUUGUUUUGCUGAGGCUCAGCUUCUUCCUGGAACUUUUUGAAACAACACUCAAGGGUCUCAAAUGGCUGACAUGAUGGUCUGUGACCUGAAAGUUGUUGAAUAGUUGGAGUGUUCUGCAUUCAUGUGGAAGAGGCUAAAGGAUGUUUGAUGAAGCACUAUGGGCUGCCCUGGAAGAGGACUGAAGAAGCAGCUGCAGGGAAUGAAUGCUUCAAGACCACAGUGCUCUCCUGCCUUGGAAACACCUUCGCCUUCCUCCGCUUCUCUUUGGCUACCAUGGUCACCCUCCACACUGCUUUCCUCAACUCUCGGGCAGGCUGGUCUCAAACUCCUGACCUCAUGUGGUCCUCCUGCCUCAACCUCCCAAAGUGCUGGGAUUAUAGGCAUGAGCCACUGCAUCUGGCCCGAUUCUUUAUAUUUGUAAAAAGCGUACUGUACUUCAAUAUAUUCAAAAUUAGACUAUUAUUUAGAAGUAUAUCAAUUUGCAGCCAGGGCAGUGGCUCACGCCUGUCCUUUACACAUAUAAGAUGGUAAUACACGGCCGGGCACAGUGGCUUGUGCCUGUAAUCCCAGAACUUUGGAAGGCCGAGGUGGGUGGAUCACCUGAGGUCAGGAGUUCGAGACCAGACUGGCCAACAUGGAGAAACCCCGUCUCUACUAAAAAUACAAAAAUUAGCCAGGUGUGGUGGUGGGCUCCUGUAAUCCCAGCUACUUGGGAGGCUGAGGCAGGAGAAUCCCUUGAACCUGCGAGGUAGAGGUUGUAGUGAGCCGAAAUUGCACCAUUGCACUCUAGCCUGGGCAACAAGAGC
rnacentral:lncRNA from 1 species